AGAACAUGUACGCUCAAUUGCUCCCUCUCGCCUUGCCUGCUCCGCCUGGUAUGGGGGGUCCACCUCCGAUGGGCGGGAUGGGUAUGCCUCCAAUGGGCGGGAUGGGUAUGCCUCCGAUGGGUGGGAUGGGUAUGCCUCCGAUGGGUGGGAUGGGUAUGCCUCCGAUGGGUCCUGGACCGAUGCCGGCAUAUGGGAUGCCUCCAAUGGGAAACUACUGAGUUGGCUUUUGAAGAACAUAGAUGAUGUCGAUUGUUUCAGUCUUUUUUUACAGAGGGAGCAUGAGGAUCCCAAAGGUAUCUUUCAAGUUGUAGAUUGAUUUGGGCUAUUGGUUGUUUCAGUUAAUAUUCUUUUGGUACCAGGGCAAUUUUGGCGAGCAAUAUCUCUAGCCGAGGUAGAGUAAAUUUACUGGUUGCUAUAUAUUAUGAUCGGGUAGGAUGAGGAUGAGAUUAGGUUCCGGCUGAAGAGUGAGAGGUGGAAGACUGGUACCAUUUGUAUAGCUUGUGUGAUAAAAAGACUAGACAUUUUGGGUGUACACUCCUCCGUGUUGGUGUUGCCACCCGUGAACAUAAACACUGCCUGUAUGUUAUAUGUUACACUGUGUUCAGAGGUUUGGGUUUUGUACCUGGAAGAAUGCUUUUGUUGAACGACACGGUGUAUUUGUAUUUGUAUUUUGUUGAUGGUCAGUAGUUCGCCUGAGCAAACUUGUAUCUUUUGCUCCAUUUGGACGUCUGAUGAAAAUAUUUAUGACGGUGGCGAUGAUGUC
rnacentral:lncRNA from 1 species